rnacentral:rRNA from 1 species
GCAACUCGCCUACACGAAGUCGGAAUCGCUAGUAAUCGCGGAUCAGCAAGCCGCGGUGAAUACGUUCCCGGGCCUUGUACACACCGCCCGUCACACCAUGAGAGUCGAUAACACCCGAAGCCUGUAGUCUAACAGCAAUGAGGACGCAGUCGAAGGUGGGAUUGAUAAUUAGGGUGAAGUCGUAACAAGGUAUC